rnacentral:lncRNA from 1 species
AUCCUUAACCCACUGAGCAGAGCCAGGGAUCAAACUCACAUCCUCAUGGAUACUAGUCAGAAUCAUUUCCACUGAGCCACAGUGGGAACCCCUGUUAAUUUUUAUUUUGUAUUGGAGUAUAGUUGAUUUACAGUAUUGUGUUACUUUCAGGUGUACAGCAAAGUGAUUCAGUUAUACAUAUAUAUGUGUCCAUUAUUUUUCAGAUUCUUUUCUCAUACAGGUUAUUAGAGAAUACUGAGUAGUGUUCCCUAUGCUAUGCAGUAGGUACUUGUUGGUUUUUAAUUUUAUAUAUAGUAAUGUGUAUAUGUUAAUCUCAACCUCCUAAUUUAUCCCUUCCUUUAACCUUUCCCCUCUGGUAACCAUAAGCUUGUUUUCAAAGUCUAUGAUUCUAUUUCUGUUUUUUAGAAAAAUUCAUUUGCAUCAUAAGACUUCACAUUAACUGAUAUCACAUGAUAUAUUUGCUUUCUCUGCCUGACUUACUUCACUAAGUAUGAUAAUCUCUAGGUUCAUCCAUGUUGCUGUAAAUGGCAUUAUUUCAUUCUUUUUUGUGGCUAAUAUUCCAUUGUUUAUAUAUACCACAUCUUUACCCAUUCCUCUGUCAGUAGACAUUUAGAUUGCUUCCAUAUCUUGGCUAUUGUAAAUAAUGCUGUGGUGGACACUGGGGUGCAUAUAUUUUUGAAUUAUGAUUUUUUUUUCUGGAUAUAUGCCCAGAGGUGGGAUUGCUACAUUAUAUGGUAGUUUCAUUUUUAGUUUUUAAAGGAAACUCCAUACCAUUUUCCAUAGUGGUUGUACCAAGUCACAUUCCCACCAACAGGGUAGGAUGGUUCCCUUUUUUCCAUACCCUCUCAGCAUUUACUGUUUGUAGACUUUUUUGAUGGUGGCCAUUCUGACUGACCAGUGUGAGAUGAUUGAUACCUCAUUGUAGUUUUGAUUUGCAUUUCUGUAAUAAUUAUGUUGAUUAUCUUUUCAUGUGCUUUUUGGCAAUGUGCAUAUAUUCUUUGGAAGAUUUAGAUCUGCCCAUUUUUUAAUUGGGUUGUUAAACUGUAGCUUUGUAGUGAAGUCUGAAGUCAGGGAGCCUGUUUCCUCCAACUCCAUUUUUCUUCCUCAGGAUUGUGUUGGCUAUUCUGGGUCUUUCAUGUUUCCAUACAGAUUUUAAAAGUUUUUAUUCUAGUUCUGUGAAAAAUGCCAUUGGUAAUUUGAUAGGGAUUGCAUUGAAUCCGUAGAUCGCCUAGGGUAGUAGAGUCGUUUUUUAUAAUAUUGAUUCUUCCAAUCCAAGAACAUAUCUUUUCUGUUUGUGUCAUCUUCAAUUUCUUUCAACACGUCUUUUGGAGGACAGGUCUUUUGCCUCCUUAGGCAGGAUUAUUUGUAGGUAUUUUGUUCUUUUUAAUGUGAUGGUAAAUGGGACUGUUUCUUCAAUUUCUCUCUCUGAUCUCUUAUUGUUAGUGUGUAGAAAUGCAGUUGAUUUCUGUGUAUUAAUUUUUAUCCUGCAACUUUACCAAAUUUACUGAUGAGCUCAGGUAAUUUUCUGGUAGUGUCUUUAGGGGUUUUCUAUGAAUAGUAUCAUGUCAUCUGAAACAGUGACAGUUUCACUUCUUCUUUUCCAAAUUGGAUUACUUUUCUUCUUCUCUGAAUGUCAUGGCUAGUAUUUCCAAAAUAUGUUGAAAAAAACAGGCAAGAUUAGACAUCUUUGACUUUUCCUGAUCUUAAGGAAAUUCAUUUAGCUUUUCUCCACUGAGUACGAUGUCAGCUGUGAGUUUUGUCAUAUAUGGCCUUGAUUAUGUUGAGUUCCCUCAAUGCCCACUUUCUGGAGAGUUUUUAUCAUAAAUAGGUAUUGAAUUUUGUCAAAAGCUUUUUCUGCACCUAUUGAUAUGAUCAUAUAAUUUUUAUUCUUCAACUUGUUAAUGUGGUGUAUCAGACUGAUUACCUUGCAAAUAUUGAAAAAUCCUUGCAUCCGUGGGAUAUAUCCCACUUGAUUGCAUUGUAUGAUCCUUUUAAUGUAUUGUUCUAUUAUUGGAUUCAGUUUCCUACCUGUUGUUUUGUUUUGUUUUCUGAGGAUUUUUGCAUCUAUAUUUGUCAGUGAUAUUGGCCUGUAAUUUUCUUUUUUUGUGGUAUCUUUAUCUGGUUUUGGUAUCAGGGUGAAGGUGGCCUCACCGAAUCAGUUUGGGAUCCUCCUCUGUAAUUUUUUGGUAGAGUUUCAAAAGCAUAGCUGUUAAAUCUUCCCUAAAUUUUUGUUGUUGUUGUUGUUGUUGUUGUUCUUUUUAGGGCCACACCUGUGGCGUAUGGAAGUUCCCCGGCUAGGGGUCGAAAUGGAGCUGUUGCUGCCUGCCUAUGCCACAGCCACAGCAAUGCCAGAUCUGCGCUGUGUCUGUGACCUACACCACAGCUCAUGGCAACGCCUGAUCCUUAACCCACUGAGCGAGGCCAGGGAUCGAACCGGCAACCUCAUGGUUCCUAGUCGGAUUUGUUUCUGCUGCACCACGACAGAAACUCCUUUUUUUAUUUUUUCAUUCAUUUUUUUUUCUAAAUGUUUGAUAGAAUUUGCCUGUGAAGCCAUCGGAUAGUUGACUUUGGUUUUUUCAAAGUUUUUAAAUCACAGUUUCCAUUUUAGUACUCGUGAUUGGUCAAUUUAUAUUUUCUAUUUCUUCCUAGUACAGCAUUGGAAGAUUACACCUUUCUAAAAAUUUGUCCAUUCUUCUAGGAUGUCCACUGUAUUGGCAUAUAGUGCUUAUUGUAGCCUCAUGAUAUUUGUUUUUCUGUGGUAUCAGUUGUAACUUAUCCUUUUUCAUUUCUAAUUUUAUUGAUUUGAGCCCUCUCCUUUUCCUUGAUGAGUCUGGCUAAAGAUUUAUCAAUUUUUUUGAUCUUUUCAAAGGACCAGGUUUAAAUUUCAUUGAUAUUUUCUAUUGAUUUAUUCACUUCUAUUUUAUUGAUUUCUUCAUUUCUAUUUAUUUACUUAUUUACAGAAAAAUUAUUAUUUCUAUUUUUUUUAUGAUUUCUUUCAUUCUUCUAACUUUGGGUUUUGUUUCCUCCUUCUCUAUUUGCUUUAGGUGUAAGGUGAGGUUGUUUGAGAUUUUUCUUGCUUCUUGAGCUGAGAUUGUAUUGUUAUAAACUUGCCUCUUAGAAAUGCUUUUGCCAUAUCCCACAGGUUUUGGAUCAUCAUGUUUUCAUUUUCAUUUAUCUCUAGGCUUUUGUUUUUGUUUUGUCUUUUUGCCAUUUCUUGGGCCACUCCCACAGCAUAUGGAAGUUCCCAGGCUAGGGGUCGAAUCGGAGCUGUAGCCGCCGGCCUACGUCAGAGCCACAGCAACACCAGAUCCAAGCCUCAUCUGCCACCUACACCACAGCUCACGGCAACGCCGGAUCCUUAACCCACUAAGCAAGGCCAUCAAACCUCCAACCUCAUGGUUCCCAGUCGGAUUCAUUAACCACUGAGCCACGACGGGAACUCCUCUCUAGGUAUUUUUUAAUUUACUCUUUGAUUUCUUCAGUGUUCCAUUGGUUUCUUAGGAACAUUCUGUUCAGCCUCCACAUGUUUGUGUUUUUUAAUUUUUUCCUUUAGUUGACUUCUGAUUCUCAUAGCUUUGUGGUCAGAAAAGCUGCUAAAUGUGAUUUCAAUUUUCCUAAAUUUACUGAGGCAUGAGUUGUGGCCUAGCAUGUUAUCUAUUCUAAAGAAUGUUCCAUGUGCACUUGGGAAGAAUAUAUAUUCUGCUGCUUUGGGAUAGAAUGUUCUAUAAAUACGAAUUAAAUCUACCUGGUCUAAUGUGUCAUUGAAGGCCUGUGUUUCCUUUUUGAUUUUCUGUCUGGAUGAUCUGUCCAUUGAUGUAAGGGGGGUGUUAAAGUCCCCUGCUAUUAUUGUGUUAUUGUUGAUUUCUCUCUUUAAGACCAUUAGCAGUUUCCCUAUAUAUUGAAAUGUUCCUAUAUUGGGUGCAUACAUGUCUAAAGUUGUUAUAUCUUCUUCUUAGAUUGAUCCCUUAGUCAUUUUGCUGUAUUUUUCUUUGUCUCUGGUAAUGGCUUUUAUUUUUAAGUCUAUUUUCUCUGAUAUGAGUAGUUCUACUCCAGCUUUCUUCUUAUUUCCAUUUUCAUGGAAUACUUUUUUCCACCCUCUCACUUUCAGUCUGUAUGUUCCCUAGAUAUAAAAUGGGUCACUUGUAGAAAACUAUAUACAGGUCCAGUUUUUGUACUCUUUCAGCCAGUCUAUGUCUAUUUACAUUUAAGGUAAUUAUAGAUAUAUAUGUUCUUAUUGUCAUUUUAAUGGUUGUGGACUUCUUUGUUAGCCUUGUUUUUCUUCCCCUCUUCUUUUGUUCUCUGCUCUUGUGAAUGAUGACUAUCUUUAGUAUUGUAUUUGGAUUGCAUUUUCUUUUGUGUGUGUGUGUCUAUUGUAGAUUUUGGUUUCCAGUUACCAUAAGGCUUUGAUAUAAAGUUCCUUUAUCAUUUGCUGCAAAGCUGGUUUGGUGAUGGCUGAAUUCUCUUAGCUUUUGCUUAUAUGGAAAGCUUUUGAUCUCUCCAUCAACUCUGAACUGAGACUUGCUGGGUAGUGUAGUCUUGGUUAUAGCUUUUUCCCUUUCAUCACUUUAAAUACAUUAUGCCAUUCCCUUCUGGGUUGCAGAGUUUCUGCUGAAAAAUCAGCUGAUAACCUUAUGGGGAUCCCCUUGGUUUUGUUGUUGUUGUUGUUGUUGUUGUUGUUGUUG